rnacentral:rRNA from 1 species
UACGUAGGGACCAAGCGUUGUUCGGAUUACUGGGCGUAAAGGGCGCGUAGGCGGCGUGGUAAGUCACUUGUGAAAUCUCUGAGCUUAACUCAGAACGGCCAAGUGAUACUGCUGUGCUAGAGUGCAGAAGGGGCAAUCGGAAUUCUUGGUGUAGCGGUGAAGUGCGUAGAUAUCAAGAGGAACACCUGAGGUGAAGACGGGUUGCUGGGCUGACACUGACGCUGAGGCGCGAAAGCCAGGGGAGCAAACGGG